rnacentral:tRNA from 1 species
GGCCGUGUGGCGAAAUGGCAUCGCGUCUGACUACGACACUUGUACGUAUCAGGAGAUUGCAGGUUCGAGACCUGUCUCGGUCA